rfam:Schistosoma mattheei strain Denwood, Zambia genome assembly, scaffold: SMTD_contig0002233
UUCAGCUGAAAAGUCCCAAAUAAAACGAAACACACGUCCUGGAA